UGGAGGAAAACUGAAAAUGGUUGCCUUGCUCUUCCUGCUUCCACCUCAAACCCUAAAAUGACAGUUCUACAGAUGAGAACAUACCAGGGAAGCUGAGAGAAUCCACAAACCCUUUGAAGGAAGUGGCUUGCUGCUGCAGAGUGGGACAGCAGAGGAACUGUGUUGAUCCCAAGAGUGCUUCCUAAGAAUCCUCCUCCAUGUUAACUUUCAUCCUAGAGUCUGCUUCACUGAUUGCCCAACUUGCAACAGAAAGUAGUAAUAUCUCUGCUUUUGUAUUGUUUCAUGCACUACUCAUCUAAGGUUCUAGGACAGUGUUCUCUCUCGUUUCCAAUAAUAAAAUUCUUCUGAUUGUCCUGGGGAGUAUUUUUGAUGUGCAUUUUAUAGUCUCUCAUGCAGCAAAAACCCAAGUGAAAUAGCUAUCUACACUUUGUAGAUUCAUUAAAUGCAUUGGAUACACAACGAAAUUGAGCUUCUUAUUUAUGGUUUCCUUCA
rnacentral:lncRNA from 1 species